rnacentral:rRNA from 1 species
ACGAACGCUGGCGGCGUGCCUAAUACCUGCAAGUUGAGCGCUGAAGGUUGGUACUUGUACCAACUGGAUGAGCAGCGAACGGGUGAGUAACGCGUGGGGAAUCUGCCUUUGAGCGGGGGACAACAUUUGGAAACGAAUGCUAAUACCGCAUAAAAACUUUAAACACAAGUUUUAAGUUUGAAAGAUGCAAUUGCAUCACUCAAAGAUGAUCCCGCGUUGUAUUAGCUAGUUGGUGAGGUAAAGGCUCACCAAGGCGAUGAUACAUAGCCGACCUGAGAGGGUGAUCGGCCACAUUGGGACUGAGACACGGCCCAAACUCCUACGGGAGGCAGCAGUAGGGAAUCUUCGGCAAUGGACGAAAGUCUGACCGAGCAACGCCGCGUGAGUGAAGAAGGGUUUCGGAUCGUAAAACUCUGUUGGUAGAGAAGAACGUUGGUGAGAGUGGAAAGCUCAUCAAGUGACGGUAACUACCCAGAAAGGGACGGCUAACUACGUG